UACAGAGGUCCCAAGCGUUGUUCGGAUUCACUGGGCGUAAAGGGUGCGUAGGUGGCGAGGUAAGUCGGAUGUGAAAGCUCGGAGCUCAACUCCGAAAUGGCAUUGGAAACUACCUUGCUCGAGGGUUGGAGGGGGGACUGGAAUGCUUGGUGUAGCAGUGAAAUGCGUAGAUAACAAGCGGAACACCAGUGGCGAAGGCGAGUCCCUGGGCAACUCCUGACACUGAGGCACGAAAGCUAGGGGAGCAAACAGG
rnacentral:rRNA from 1 species